CGCACGCGCCGUGGCGCCCCCGGGCGUAACCCCAGCUGCUGGGACUGGCCAGGGCUCGCAGCUCGCCUGCUACAGUUUGUGGCGCGCCCUCGGGAUCAGGGCACUGGGGUUUGAAGGGGCUGCAGCGUGGGAAGCCUUUAAUUUUUUUUUUUUUUUGAAAGCUGCGUGUGCCCAGAUUGAGGAAGCAGUUUUGUCACACAAGUUCAACACGUUCCACGGUGGUCACAAGCUAGCAAGGAUGAAACGAGUGGAAUAACAUCAACUAAGCCUUGCUGCUUCUCAGGCCCUGAGGAAUGGAGUGUACUAAUUAUGUACUCUGAAGAUAUAGCACCUGCUUCUUCCAUUUCUCUUGCCUCAAGACAAUGGAUUUCUAUCCUGAGGAGUUGUACUACUUCCACUUCAUUUGUUGUGGAAUGAAGAACCAUGAACCAUUCUUUCCAGGUGGCCUUCAGUUAGAGCUUCAGAAGGGUGAAAUUUCUUUCUGUCUGUCUCUCAAGCCUCAGCCUUACUUAUAAAGCCUCCAACAGAUUUACAGGUGCUUAUAAUGCUACGGAGCAGAUAGAAGCUGCUCUAUAAUCCUAACAGGGAAUUGACAUCUCCUGAAUCUAAGACACUGAAUCAUGGCCUCAAAUGAAAUUUCAUCAAGUUUGCUGCUUCUAAUCUAAUGGACUUGGGAGAAGCCACUUAUGAGAAUGGUAUGUAAGCCAAGAGCAAAUGAACUGACGUCUGAGGGGCUGGCUAUCCAAACAACAAAAGAUGAAGCAUCAGAUCAUUCAUUGAAGAGUUUCUUGCUCUUACAAGGUCUUUGCAAUGAUUUGA